rnacentral:rRNA from 1 species
GUUCCUACGGGAGGCAGCAGUGGGGGAUAUUGGACAAUGGGGGAAACCCUGAUCCAGCGAUGCCGCGUGAGGGAAGAAGGUUUUCGGAUUGUAAACCUCUGUGGAGGGGGACGAUAAUGACGGUACCCCUUUAGGAAGCCACGGCUAACUACGUGCCAGCAGCCGCGGUAAUACGUAGGUGGCGAGCGUUGUCCGGAUUUAUUGGGUUUAAAGGGUGCGCAGGCGGCCUGUUAAGUCAGCGGUAAAAGCCCGGGGCUCAACCCCGGCGAGCCGUUGAAACUGGCGGGCUGGAGUUGGGGAGAAGG